GACGAACGCUGGCGGCGUGCUUAACACAUGCAAGUCGAACGGAAAGGCCCUGCUUUUGUGGGGUGCUCGAGUGGCGAACGGGUGAGUAACACGUGAGUAACCUGCCCUUCACUUUGGGAUAACUUCAGGAAACUGGGGCUAAUACCGGAUAGGAGCUCCUGCUGCAUGGUGGGGGUUGGAAAGUUUCGGCGGUUGGGGAUGGACUCGCGGCUUAUCAGCUUGUUGGUGGGGUAGUGGCUUACCAAGGCUUGGACGGGUAGCCGGCCUGAGAGGGUGACCGGCCACAUUGGGAGUGGGAUACGGCCCAGACACCUGCGGGAGGCAGCAGGGGGGAAUAUUGCACAAUGGGCGGAAGCAUGAUGCAGCAACGCCGCGUGCGGGAUGACGGCCUUCGGGUUGUAAACCGCUUUCGCCUGUGACGAAGCGUGAGUGACGGUAAUGGGUAAAGAAGCACCGGCUAACUACGUG
rnacentral:rRNA from 1 species